rnacentral:rRNA from 1 species
AUUGAACGCUGGCGGCAUGCUUUACACAUGCAAGUCGAACGGCAGCGCGGGCUUCGGCCUGGCGGCGAGUGGCGAACGGGUGAGUAAUAUAUCGGAACGUACCCAAGAGUGGGGGAUAACGUAGCGAAAGUUACGCUAAUACCGCAUACGAUCUAAGGAUGAAAGCAGGGGAUCGCAAGACCUUGUGCUCCUGGAGCGGCCGAUAUCUGAUUAGCUAGUUGGUGGGUAAAGGCCCACCAAGGCAACGAUCAGUAGCUGGUCUGAGAGGACGACCAGCCACACUGGAACUGAGACACGGUCCAGACUCCUACGGAGGCAGCAGUGGGGAAUUUUGGACAAUGGGCGCAAGCCUGAUCCAGCAAUGCCGCGUGAGUGAAGAAGGCC